UUAUUUUUUAAAGUAACAUUGUGGUUUUUUCUGGUAACAGAAGGGUUUUCCAUACAAAUUUGACCUGUCCCAAGUAGCACUUCGUUACAGAAAAUAUAAAAUAACUACAAUUUCCAAUAUACCAACCCACAUCAAUUAAAAUAUUAAUAUAAACAGAAUAUUGCGAAUAUUUCUAAAAGUACAUUUUCAACCCGAUCAGUGCUAAGAUUUAUUUUAUAAAAAAUAUUUUAACUUUGUCCCACGUAGUGUUUGGAAUCGUGUGCACUACUAUGUUACUAAAUAAAUCAUUACUCAAAAUAGAGGUGGCGCUGUUUUCGACUUUCUAUUAGCUUGAGCGAGGUUUCUGCAGCCAUUGUGGUCGUUCGUUAGGUCUGGGGGUGGGGUACAUUGAAUCUCAGUCGACCGCGUGGCGCUGAACGUGCCGCGUGUUUUUAUUCCGCAUCAACAUUGUUACCUACCUAUUAAAGUUAUUCUGCCGUUAUUAACGCCCUUAAAAUGCCUCUCACGCCAGCUGAGAAGCAAGCAAGUUAACAGAAACAGAUCGAAGUUAUUUACAGGUUAUAUAAAAUUUAAGUAACAAUUAGAAACAGUUAACAAGAGAUAGGAGACGUAUAAAAAACAAUGCAACAGAGAAAAACGAAAGAAGUCUAAAAAUAAGGACGGCAAUCCAGAAAAUCCAGUAAAUGCUAUUAAAAAUGGCCAUGAAAAAGUUAAGAAUCUGAAGGAAAAGUAUGCUAUUGAUAAAAUAUUCGACAAGAAGGCCGUUAAAAUGUCUAGGCAGGAAAUACAAAUUAUACAAGAGUGUCUUGCUGUGGAUCAAAGUUUCAUAUGAAAAAAAUCAGCCCACAUGUAAGAAAAAUGUUUUUAGAACCAAAAUCAAUCUUUUCGAACGUGACGACAUAUCAAAAGUAUGCAAUUUAUUCACUUAUAGUACAAAAAGAACAACUAAGUUACUGUGUUACAACUCUGUUACUUUCGUGUCCCGAAGAUUAAAGAACUUAGUUACGAAAUUUAGGAAAAGCUAUUCAAUAUAAUACUGCUAAAUUACAAUAGGUUAAUUUGUCAGUUAAUGAAGCGGUUAUAUGUUGUAAUUAGCUGUUAAUUUACAGAUAUUUCAUGGAGUAGUGUAGAAUUUAAGGUUUGUUAUUAUUCAUAAAGUAACAGAGUUGACUAAAAUUGUAAAUAAAUUACUGUUAAACUUAAAAAAAGCUUGUGCUUCUAAUGGUGAUUAUAAGAUAUAAGACUGUAAUUAAUAUAAAAGCCAAAAUAUGUGCGACUGGCUUAUUUAAUUUAAUGAUAAAAGGUAAAGUGUAAUAAUAA